rnacentral:rRNA from 1 species
UACGUAGGGCGCAAGCGUUAUCCGGAAUUAUUGGGCGUAAAGAGCUCGUAGGCGGUUUGUCGCGUCUGCCGUGAAAGUCCGGGGCUCAACUCCGGAUCUGCGGUGGGUACGGGCAGACUAGAGUGUGGUAGGGGAGACUGGAAUUCCUGGUGUAGCGGUGAAAUGCGCAGAUAUCAGGAGGAACACCGGUGGCGAAGGCGGCUCACUGGGCUGACCUUGACGCUGAGGCGCGAAGGCGUGGGGAGCGAACGGG